AGGAUGAACGCUAGCGGCAUGCCUUACACAUGCAAGUCGUACGAAAACUUCGGUUUUAGUGGCAAACGGGUGAGUAAUGCGUGAGAAUCUACCUUUAAGAGGGGGAUAACACUUGGAAACAAGUGCUAAAACCCCAUAGGCCUUCGGGUGAAAAAGUUCUAACUGCUUAAAGAGGAGCUCACGUCUGAUUAGCUAGUUGGUGAGGUAAUGGCUCACCAAGGCGACGAUCAGUAACUGGUCUGAGAGGACGAUCAGUCACACUGGAACUGAGACACGGUCCAGACUCCUACGGGAGGCAGCAGUGGGGAAUUUCUACAAUGGACGGAAGUCUGAUAGAGACAAUCGCCGCGUA
rnacentral:rRNA from 1 species